AUCUUUGGCCCCCGGGACCCUCAGUUAGUGCCCAUCCUGGUAGAUCCAGCCCGCAGAGGAAAGAUGAAGUUCAUCAUCGGAGAUGGAUCCGAUCUUGUGGACUUCACCUAUGUGGAGAAUGUAGUUCAUGGGCAUAUUUUAGCAGCUGAACACCUGAAGGCUGAUUCUCCGCUCUGAGGUCAGGCUUACCACAUAACCAACGCUGGAGAG